UACGGGAGGCAGCAGUGGGGAAUAUUGCACAAUGGGCGCAAGCCUGAUGCAGCCAUGCCGCGUGUAUGAAGAAGGCCUUCGGGUUGUAAAGUACUUUCAGUCGUGAGGAAGGUGUUAAGGUUAAUAACCUUAGCAAUUGACGUUAGCGACAGAAGAAGCACUGGCUAACUCCGUGCCAGCAGCCGCGGUAAUACGGAGGGUGCGAGCGUUAAUCGGAAUUACUGGGCGUAAAGGGCACGCAGGCGGUUAAUAAGUUGGAUGUGAAAUCCCCGGGCUUAACCUGGGAAUGGCAUUCAAGACUGGUUAGCUAGAGUCUUGUAGAGGGGGUAGAAUUCCAUGUGUAGCGGUGAAAUACGUAGAGAUGUGGAGGAAUACCGGUGGCGAAGGCGGCCCCUGGGACAAAGACUGACGCUCAUGUGCGAAAGCGUGGGGAGCAAACAGGAUUAGAUACC
rnacentral:rRNA from 1 species